UUUUCUUCAGAAGCUUGAACAUUCUCCACAUCUACUCCUCCACGUGUCCCUAAACAAGAAAAAUGAAAGAAAGAAAGAACAGCGUAACCGUUUAAUGGGUCCACGACGAAAGACCAGCUUUCCAUUUCAUGACCGCAUCUGGAAUUAAACAGAAGUCACAGC